CCUACGCGGGGCUGCAGUGGGGAAUAUUGGACAAUGGGGGGAACCCUGAUCCAGCCAUGCCGCGUGUGUGAAGAAGGCCCUCGGGUUGUAAAGCACUUUCAGUGAGGAAGAACGCCUGGUGGUUAAUACCCAUCAGGAAAGACAUCACUCACAGAAGAAGCACCGGCUAACUCCGUGCCAGCAGCCGCGGUAAUACGGAGGGUGCGAGCGUUAAUCGGAAUUACUGGGCGUAAAGCGCGCGUAGGUGGCUUGAUAAGCCGGUUGUGAAAGCCCCGGGCUCAACCUGGGAACGGCAUCCGGAACUGUCAAGCUAGAGUGCAGGAGAGGAAGGUAGAAUUCCCGGUGUAGCGGUGAAAUGCGUAGAGAUCGGGAGGAAUACCAGUGGCGAAGGCGGCCUUCUGGACUGACACUGACACUGAGGUGCGAAAGCGUGGGUAGCAAACAGGAUUAGAUACCCCAGUAGUC
rnacentral:rRNA from 1 species